CGAGGGCUUCCAGCUUAGUCCCGACGGCGCCUCCUGUCUGGAUGUGGACGAGUGUCGCUACGAGCCUUGCCUCAACUUCGCCUCGUGCUCAAACUCGGUGCCAGGCUACCACUGCUCCUGCACUAGCGGCUACGCAGGCCACAACUGUGAGCAGCAGGCCGGACCCUUGGCCUUCCCCCUAGGCGGCCUGCCUGUCCUGCUGGCCUUCACCUUCUCCCUCGCUACUGUCUUAGGUUUGCUGGCGAUUGCAGUAGCAACUUAUUUUCUGAGGCGCCGGAAAAUCGAACUCAAGACAACGUCAGUCGACAGAACAGCAAGUAAACAAAAACAACAGCAAGUCAUAACCUCAACAAUCAUAGACUCAUCCAACCUCUCCCCAGUGCCUUCUAAAGAAUCUAAGGAAAGUGUUUACGUAGAGGAGCCAUCUAGCGAUAAGCAAUUU
rnacentral:lncRNA from 1 species